GAUGAACGCUGGCGGCGUGCCUAAUACAUGCAAGUCGAGCGAACAGACGAGGAGCUUGCUCCUCUGACGUUAGCGGCGGACGGGUGAGUAACACGUGGAUAACCUACCUAUAAGACUGGGAUAACUUCGGGAAACCGGAGCUAAUACCGGAUAAUAUAUUGAACCGCAUGGUUCAAUAGUGAAAGACGGUUUUGCUGUCACUUAUAGAUGGAUCCGCGCCGCAUUAGCUAGUUGGUAAGGUAACGGCUUACCAAGGCGACGAUGCGUAGCCGACCUGAGAGGGUGAUCGGCCACACUGGAACUGAGACACGGUCCAGACUCCUACGGGAGGCAGCAGUAGGGAAUCUUCCGCAAUGGGCGAAAGCUUGACGGAGCAACGCCGCGUGAGUGAUGAAGGUCUUCGGAUCGUAAAACUCUGUUAUUAGGGAGGAACAAGUGUGUAAGUAACUAUGCGCGUCUUGACGGUACCUAAUCAGAAAACCACGGCUAACUACGUG
rnacentral:rRNA from 1 species